CACGAUCAAAUUUAUGCUUAACCAAGUAACUAGUUUAUUUCCUUUUUAUUACAAUUCUUUCGAUUCCCACAUAGUUAUACAAUAUGUCAAUCCUUAUGAUUAUACAUACUUAGCAUCUAGUUUUUACACUGUUUUACACCAUCAAUUGCAUCUAAACUGAUAAACUACUAACUAAUCAUACAUGAAUCACUUUGGCCUUGAUUUAUAGAACAUCACUCCUUGCUCCCCACGUUAUAGCCCAACUGAAUAUUAUAAUCUAUAUCAAUCUCACUCAAACAGCUCCUGCUAAAGAAAUCCCCGUCACACAUAUGGCCUUUAACUUAGUUACAGCUAUAUGAUCCGAAACCGUUACGUACUACAAGAAAAAUCCUUAUUUUUGAGGUAAAUUUUCGUUGGAAAUAUUCUAUUAUUUCUAAAGGGAAAUUUCGUCAGAAAUAAGUUAUUUCCCACGGAAAAUUCCGUCGGAA
rnacentral:lncRNA from 1 species